AUGGCGGGGAGGCGGCAGGCAGCCUGGUGCCUGGUGGUCAUCGCUCUGGCAGUGACGCUGGCGGUGGCGUCGGCGCAGCCCGUGCAGCCGAGGGUGGGCGGGCCGGGGAAGAAAGGCGGCAAGAUGCCGCCGGGCAAGUUCGAGACGGUGACCUUCGCCAAGAACAACAAGCGCAAGUACGAGGUGGCCUGCACCGACAACCGCGGCCCGCCCUGCGUCGUCUCCUGCCCCAAGACCUGCCCCAACAAGUGCCUCGCCUUCUGCGAGUACUGCAUGACCUUCUGCAUGUGCGACAUGUUCCCGGGCACGUCGUGCGGGGACCCGCGCUUCACGGGCGGCGACGGCAACACCUUCUACUUCCACGGAAAGAAGGACCAGGACUUUUGCAUCGUCUCUGACAAGGACCUCCACAUCAACGCGCACUUCAUUGGCAACCACAACCCUGAUAUGAAGCGUGACUUCACGUGGGUGCAGGCCCUCGGUGUCACCUUCGUCCAUGGCGGCGCCGACCACCGCCUCUACGUGGGUGCCAAGAAGGUCGUCGAGUGGGACGAGGAGGAGGACCAUGUUCAAAUCACCCUCGAUGGGGUGCCCGUGGAGGUGGAGGCCGGCAAGAAUGCCCAAUGGGUCUCUAGGGCCAUGCCGGGGCUCUCCGUCACUCGCACCGACACGGUGAACACCGUCGUCGUGGAGCUCGACGGCGUGUUCAGCAUCUCGGCCAACGCCGUGCCCAUCACUGACGAGGACUCCCGGAUCCACAACUACGGGAAGACCAAGGACAGCCUCAUGCACCUCGACCUAGGGUUCAAGUUCCACACCCUUACUAACGGCGUCGACGGCGUGCUCGGCCAGACCUACCGCUUAGACUACAUCAGCAAGGUCAACGUCACGGCCAAGAUGCCCAUCAUGGGCGGCGCGCCCAAGUACCUCUCGGCCAGCCUCUUCUCCACAGACUGCGCCGUCUCCAGCUUCCACCGUAACGGUGACGCCGCCAUCGAGACGUUCGCCUCAUAA
rnacentral:rRNA from 1 species